rnacentral:rRNA from 1 species
UACGGAGGGUGCAAUCGUUAUCCGGAUUUACUGGGUUUAAAGGGUGCGUAGGUGGGCAUGUAAGUCAGUGGUGAAAUACCGGAGCUUAACUUCGGAACUGCCAUUGAUACUAUAUGUCUUGAAUAUUGUGGAGGUAAGCGGAAUAUGUCAUGUAGCGGUGAAAUGCAUAGAUAUGACAUAGAACACCGAUUGCGGAGGCAGCCUGCUACGCAAAUAUUGACGCUGAGGCACGAAAGCGUGGGGAGAAAACAGG